AGUAAGCAGAGAUCGUGCCACUGCACUCCAGCUUGGGCAACAAAGUGAGACUCCAUCACAGAAAAAAAAAAGAAAAUGUUUACCUUUACCUAUAGCCUGGAAAUCCCUGCUUUGAGUUGCUCCAUCUUUCUGAACCAAACCAAUGUUAUUUCUUAAACGUAUUUCAUUGAUGUCUCAUGCCUCCCUAAAAUGUAUAAAACCAAGCUGUGCCCCGAACACCUUGGGCACAUGUUCUCAGGACCUCCUGAGGGCCGUGUCACGGGUCAUAAUCACUCAUAUUUGGCUCAGAAUAAAUCUCUUCAAACAUUUUACAGAGUUGACUCUUAGUCAACAUGUCCAUACCUGAUGAGAUGCUUCAUCAAAAUUCUAGUGGACUGGCUAGUUCAGAAAAUGGACCAGCCAGGUUUGCUUAAAUGCACCCCUGCACAACUAUCUCACUCCUGCUUGGAGCCGGCUAGAUCAGGAGACCUGUCCCUAAACUAAUGUACUCCAUGUCUUAAGUCUUUUUGUUUUGUUUUGUUUUUGUUUUUGACAGAGUCUCAGUCUGUCACCCAGGCUGGAGUGCAGUGGCGUGAUCUUGGCUCGCUGCAACCUCCGCCUCCCAGGUUCAAGAGAUUCUCCUGUCUCAGCCUCCCAAGUAGCUGGGACAACAGGUGUGCACCACCAUGCCCUGCUAAUUUUUGUGUUUUAAGUAGAGAUGGGGUCUCACCCUGUUGGCCAGGCUGGUCUCAAAUUCCUGACCUCAGGUGAUCCACCCACCUCGGCCUCCCAAAGUGCUGUAAUUACAGGCAUGAGCCACCGCACCCAGCCCAUGUGUCUUGGUCUUUUUUACUAAUAUUGAUUAUAAAAUGGAUGAAACUUUGGAUAAAAUUUCUGCGUUAGAAUUUCUUUUUAUAUCUGUCCUAAAGCUUGUAACUACUUGCUCAUGAUUUUUUGUGUAUGUUUAGCAAUGUGCAUGUCAUUGAUGGCCUUUGUAAAGUAUGUUCAAUUGAGUUGUGGAGACAGAGGUGCAAUUGGAGUAGGUUGUAAGAAUAAAAAGGAGUAGGC
rnacentral:lncRNA from 1 species